CCUACGGGAGGCAGCAGUGAGGAAUAUUGGUCAAUGGACGAGAGUCUGAACCAGCCAAGUAGCGUGAAGGAUGACUGCCCUAUGGGUUGUAAACUUCUUUUAUAUGGGAAUAAAAUGUUCCACGUGUGGGAUUUUGUAUGUACCAUAUGAAUAAGGAUCGGCUAACUCCGUGCCAGCAGCCGCGGUAAUACGGAGGAUCCGAGCGUUAUCCGGAUUUAUUGGGUUUAAAGGGAGCGUAGGUGGAUUGUUAAGUCAGUUGUGAAAGUUUGCGGCUCAACCGUAAAAUUGCAGUUGAUACUGGCAGUCUUGAGUACAGUAGAGGUGGGCGGAAUUCGUGGUGUAGCGGUGAAAUGCUUAGAUAUCACGAAGAACUACGAUUGCGAAGGCAGUUCACUGGACUGCAACUGACACUGAGGCUCGAAAGUGUGGGUAUCAAACAGGAUUAGAUACCCGAGUAGUC
rnacentral:rRNA from 1 species